rnacentral:rRNA from 1 species
AUUGAACGCUGGCGGCAGGCCUAACACAUGCAAGUCGAGCGGAUGAAGGGAGCUUUCUCCUGGAUUCAGCGGCGGACGGGUGAGUAAUGCCUAGGAAUCUGCCUGGUAGUGGGGGAUAACGUCCGGAAACGGGCGCUAAUACCGCAUACGUCCUGAGGGAGAAAGUGGGGGAUCUUCGGACCUCACGCUAUCAGAUGAGCCUAGGUCGGAUUAGAUAGUUGGUGGGGUAAAGGCCUACCAAGGCGACGAUCCGUAACUGGUCUGAGAGGAUGAUCAGUCACACUGGAACGGAGACACGGUCAAGACUACUGAGGGAGGCAGCAGUGGGGAAUAUUGGACAAUGGGCGAAAGCCUGAUCCAGCCAUGCCGCGUGUGUGAAGAAGGUCUUCGGAUUGUAAAGCACUUUAAGUUGGGAGGAAGGGCAGUAAGUUAAUACCUUGCUGUUUUGACGUUACCAACAGAAUAAGCACCGGCUAACUUCGUG